rnacentral:rRNA from 1 species
UACGUAGGCAGCGAGCGUUGUUCGGAGUUACUGGGCGUAAAGGGUGUGUAGGCGGUUCUUUAAGUUUGGUGUGAAAUCUCCCGGCUCAACCGGGAGGGUGCGCCGAAUACUGAGGGACGUAGAGUAUGGGAUGGGAAAGUGGAAUUCCUGGUGUAGCGGUGAAAUGCGUAGAUAUCAGGAGGAACACCUGUGGUGUAGACGGCUUUCUGGACCAUAACUGACGCUGAGACACGAAAGCGUGGGUAGCAAACAGG